rnacentral:rRNA from 1 species
CAUGCUUAAUUAUAUAAUUUAUCCCGAAAAUAGAAGAUCUACUCUGCUUUAUGCUUUUAGAGCAAAUAAAUAUAAAAUGUGGCAUCUGUUUUAAAUAAAAAGUAGCGUAGGGGCGAAACACCUUCAAUUUUUUUGAUAUCUGGAUUAAACUUAAAUGAAUUUAGUUCACUAAAUAAUCAUAAAGUUAUAAGAUUUUAUGAGGGUAGAAUAAAAAAUAGUUUUUUAUAAUGAAAUAAAUUUUCUGAUUAAACCAAUAAAAAUUUAUAAAUAUUUUUUGAAAUCUAUAUUUUAGGUUUAUAGUUUUAAAGUAAUUUUCUUUUAACUCAAUAAUGUUUAAAUUAGUAAAAAUUUUUAAUUUUUUUUAAGGAACUCGGCAAAUAUAAUUUUCAACUAGUUUAUCAAAAACAUAGCUUUAAGAAAUUUCAAUUUAAAGUUAAAUCUGCCCAGUGAUAAUAUUUAACGGCCGCAGUACACUGACUGUGCUAAGGUAGCAUAAUAAAUUGACUUUUAAAUGGAGUCGGGUAUGAAUGGAUUAAUGGAGAUUUUCUGUCUCUAUACUAUUAAAUUUUAAUUUACUCAAAAGGUGAAAAUUCCUUUGUUAAAGUAUGUAAGACGAGAAGACCCUAAGAAUUAUAAUUAAAGAUGUUUAUUUUAAAAUUUUUGUUGGGGCAACAGAUUUGGUAAAACCGAUUUAUUAAUACACAUUUUACAUAAAAUAUAUUAGUUAAAUGAAAUAAAUUACCUUAGGGAUAACAGCAUAAUUAAAUUAAUAGAUUGUGACCUCGAUGUUGGACUAAGGGCCUCUUUAAAUAGCCUUUAAUGAGGAUAGUUCUGUUCGAACUGAGCACCUUACAU